AUUGAACGCUGGCGGCAGGCUUAACACAUGCAAGUCGAGCGGAGAGAAGUAGCUUGCUACUGAUCUUAGCGGCGGACGGGUGAGUAAUGCUUAGGAAUCUGCCUAUUAGUGGGGGACAACAUUUCGAAAGGAAUGCUAAUACCGCAUACGUCCUACGGGAGAAAGCAGGGGAUCUUCGGACCUUGCGCUAAUAGAUGAGCCUAAGUCGGAUUAGCUAGUUGGUGGGGUAAAGGCCUACCAAGGCGACGAUCUGUAGCGGGUCUGAGAGGAUGAUCCGCCACACUGGGACUGAGACACGGCCCGGACUCCUACGGGAGGUAGCAGUGGGGAAUAUUGGACAAUGGGCGGAAGCCUGAUCCAGCCAUGCCGCGUGUGUGAAGAAGGCCUUAUGGUUGUAAAGCACUUUAAGCGAGGAGGAGGCUACUUUAGUUAAUACCUAGAGAUAGUGGACGUUACUCGCAGAAUAGGCACCGGCUAACUCUGUGCCAGCCGCCGCGGUAACAC
rnacentral:rRNA from 1 species